UCCCCCGGGGUGCAGUUGAGAUAUGAGAGACAUCAUUAGGGAAGAGACGUGAUAUCCCGAAAUCUGCAACUUUGACACUGAAACUCUGAUCAAGGAGUAUGUUAUUAGUCUUGACAUCACAGUGUAUUAUGUCAGAAGCAUGAAGGUAAGCCAAUGCACCAGCAGUUUCUAUGGCAAUGUUCAAGCGGACUGGCCAGGUGAGUGAUCUGUUCUUCGCUCUGUCACCAUGGAGGUGAUCAGCUAGAGUUCCGUUAGGAAUGUAUUCAUAGACAAGGAUUAGUUCACGGCUACGCCUUGAAGUGCAGCCAUAAAGAGUGACAAGAUUGGUGUGCCUUAGCCUAGUAAGGAUCUCAAUUUCAUUUACAAACUGCUGCAUUUGUUUGGAGUUGUGCUCAUAAAGGCGCUUCACAGCAACCUCUCGUCCAUCCUUAAGUUGUCCUAGUCAUUAGUGAACAAGUAUUAGGCACAUGAAGAAAGAAUUGAAGCAUAGCUCAGUUGGAUUAGGAAGUCUCUCACCAUAGUAAACAGUUCCGAACCCUCCAUCUCCAAGAACUCGAGAGGAUUUAAAAUCAUUCGUGGCUUCUUCAAGUUCUGAAUAAGAAAAGACUGGGAUGCCAAAGUAUAUACUGCCUCCCUCAACAUCAUUUUUAAAUAUAUAUGACAAUUUCCUUGUUAAGAGGAAGUGGGGUGGAUUAAAUUUCCUCUUCUUGUAACACCAGAUAAAGUAGACAGCUAAACAAGUUAUCAUCACCAAUACUCCACCAAAAACUGGAAAUAAAUAAAAAUCGAAGGUUUCAAAAAAAAAAGAAGCAAAACAUCGCAAUCUCUCAACUCCACUUUGUCAUUAUGAAUAUGUUUUGAGAAUUUACCACAAUGAAAAAGAAAAUUCAAAGAACAUGUAUGGAAAUUCUGAAAUAGAAAGAAAGAUGAGGUUAAUGGAUAUUUAACUACCUGCUCCAAGAGUCAGUCCCAACUUGCUUCUAUUUGCUUUUGCAUCUAAACAGAAGAGGGAAAAUUAUCAGAUGUCAUAUGAAACAAAAAAGGACCCUAAGAAAUAUGCAUUUGACCUUGAACAUGUUAAUUAUUUUGAGAUGUCUACCUUUGUAACAAAGAAAAUUGUUCUUCUUAUCAGUCUGACAUCGACCUCCACCAUAGUGACAUUUGUUACAGUCAUCAGACAAUUUCCAUUCUACUAGAAAUGCAGAACGUAAGAAGUUGACCAAAUUAUUACCAGGUUCUGUUUGGUAAUAUGGCAAUCUGAUAAGGGAACAGUUGGCAGUAAGAUUGUCUGCUAGAAUGUCUUCAUCAUCAACUCCAUAAAACUUGUAGUAUAUGGUGAAUCCAUCACAGCCAUCAUAUGAGUAAUAACCAUCAAAAUGAUCUUUCAUCUGCUGAUUAAUGUAUGGGUUGUUACUACUAGUCCUAUUGCAUUUGUAGAAGUUCUGAAGGUUAACUGCAGAGAAAGAAAUAGAAGGAGAGCCUGAAAGGGAGAUAUUUUUGUUAAAAGCUUGGCACUUGUUUUUCCUCAAUAUAGUUUGAAGCUUCGGGUCCACGACCCAAACUGUAUAACUAUACUCCUUGCCUAUAGCAUAGUACCAUUCUCCUCCAGGAACCAGUUGGAUUCUUGGAAAUAGUUUAACAUCACAACCAGAGAUGGGAACUAUUCCGCAGUCGGGUUGUGUGGAAAGAGAGAAAGGAAAGCUCAGGUCAGUAAGAUUUCCACAUGAAAAGGACUUUGGACAAGUUGAAUCAUUUCUCCCCUUUGCCUGAACUAACAUCAGAAGAAGAGAUAGAAUAACGCAAACAGACGAAGAAGCCAAAGACAUAUUGUGAAUCCUACUGCAAGAAGAGCAAAGCUAGCUGAAGUUUUUGUGAAUUGCAACUCUAGUUCACCAGACUGGUAUCUUAUAAGAUCAAGUGCCAUAACUUCUAAACACUUUCUCCAUUAAUAGUCUCCAUCUUACUGGUAAAACUUGUCAAAAAGAAAUACUAACUGGAACCAAACAUAAUCAGACUUAUUGAGGAAACAAAGGCAAGGCUUAGAAAAUAUUGAAACUUUCACAUCAGUAAAGACUUGACUUAUUGACUCUGCAAUAUACCAGGCAACUUCUUAUCAGUUUCAGGACCAAAGUCUUCAAAAAUGGUUGACUUAACCUGUAGAAAUAUGAAAAUGAAAAGGUUCUAGUCACACCCCAAAACACAACUAAAGAUAGUUUGAUAAUGUAAAAAGAAUACUGCAUACUUAUCAGGUAGCUUCAUAUCUCCUCCUUAUGGUGAACAAAUCCAGUCUUCCAUUUGCUCAUUCUCACUAGAAAUUACCAAGAAAGUUUUCCAAGUAUAGCAGAGUAUAUACGGUGUAAGCUAGAAAUACUUGCAAUGUUCCAAGCCAUCUUCUACAAAAUUUUGAAAAAGUAACAAAUCAGCAAUCAGUAUUCUAGAAUAUGGAACACUGGCCCCUCUAUUCCAUGACUAACAUUGAAACAAUAGUGCAUAUCACUAUGACUAAAUACUCAUAAAUUUCUAACGAUGGCCCCUCAAAUUCCAUGAAACAUAAACCUUAUCUUCUUCUUUUUUCUCUAACUUCUCCCAUCAUUUUCUGUUACACCAGCUUUUGAUCCCAAAAAGAAAAGAAAGUGUGUCAUUGGACAGAGCCAUUGCUUUACAUUUUCCAACCUUCCAGUGUAUAUAACAGCUCUUAUAUAAUGAAACUAAAAAUUGAAUCACUUCCACUCGUAGAUACAUUGCUCAAGAAACUUCUCCGAGUAGUACAUUCAUAGUCUCUCAAAAUCUACAUCAAUAACAAAGGAAGGGGGUACAGAACUACUUUGUACUAGUUAUACUAGAGCAAGUAAUCCAUUUACCAGUCACAGAAUUUGGUGAAGGUAGUGAUUUAACUUGUUUAAGCAAUAACUGAUCUUCUGAUUCAGGGAAAGGAAAUACUUUCUUUUCAUUGUCAAAUUCACUAGUCUGAAUCUCCUUUAGAGUAUCCAAAACUUCAACCAUAGUAGGCCUCAUGUCCCUAUCUGUCUGUAAGCAUAGAAAAGCCAGCUCUGCCACUGAAGUAGUCAUUUCCAAAAUCUUGGUAUCUGAGUCGAACCCCAGGGAUGGAUCGAUCAACUCAUGAAAUGCACAUUUUACGAUCUUGUUUAUAGCAAAGUUAGCCAAAUUAAUUUCUUGGCUAUGCCUGUUCAUAUCCACAGCUGGCAUUGAUGAAAUGAGCUCAACAAGGACCACCCCGAAGCUAUAGACAUCACUUUUACUAGUCAGCUGAUAACAUUCUUGAUACUUUGGAUCAAUAUAGCCAGGGGUCCCCCGGGGUGCAGUUGAUAUAUGAGAGACGUCAUUUGGGAAGAGACGUGAUAUCCCGAAAUCUGCAACUUUGACACUGAAAUUCUGAUCAAGGAGUAUGUUAUUAGUCUUGACAUCACAGUGUAUUAUGUCAGAAGCAUGAAGGUAAGCCAAUGCACCAGCAGUUUCUAUGGCAAUGUUCAAACGGACUGGCCAGGUGAGUGAUCUGUUCUUCGCUCUGUCACCAUGGAGGUGAUCAGCAAGAGUUCCAUUAGGAAUGUAUUCAUAGACAAGGAGUAGUUCACGGCUACGCCUUGAUGUGCAGCCAUAGAGGGUGACAAGAUUGUUGUGCCUUAGCCUAGUAAGGAUCUCAAUUUCAUUUACAAACUGCUGCAUUUGUUUGCAGUUCUGCUCGUAAAGGCGCUUCACAGCAACCUCUCGUCCAUCCUUUAGUUUUCC
rnacentral:lncRNA from 1 species